rnacentral:rRNA from 1 species
UUACUAGAGCAAAGGAUAGACAGCGCCCGCGGAGCUCGCUCCCGGGGCCACCCUACUCCGGUAGGGUUUAGAGUCGUCGGGCCUCUCGGAGAAGCUCGGUCCUGAACUCCACCCUUGAAUAAACUACCUUUGUUGCUUUGGCGGGCCGCCUCGUGCCAGCGGCUUCGGCUGUUGAGUGCCCGCCAGAGGACCACAACUCUUGUUUUUAGUGAUGUCUGAGUACUAUAUAAUAGUUAAAACUUUCAACAACGGAUCUCUUGGUUCUGGCAUCGAUGAAGAACGCAGCGAAAUGCGAUAAGUAAUGUGAAUUGCAGAAUUCAGUGAAUCAUCGAAUCUUUGAACGCACAUUGCGCCCUCUGGUAUUCCGGGGGGCAUGCCUGUUCGAGCGUCAUUAUAACCACUCAAGCUCUCGCUUGGUAUUGGGGUUCGCGGUUUCGCGGCUCCUAAAAUCAGUGGCGGUGCCUAUCGGCUCUACGCGUAGUAAUACUCCUCGCGAUUGAGUCCGGUAGGUCUACUUGCCAGCAACCCCUAAUUUUUUAAGGUUGACCUCGGAUCAGGUAGGGAUACCCGCUGAACUUAAGCAUAUCAAUAAGCGGAGGAAAAGAACCAACAGGGAUUACCUCAGUAACGGCGAGUGAAGCGGUAACAGCUCAAAUUUGAAAGCUGGCUCUUUUAGGGUCCGCGUUGUAAUUUGUAGAAGAUGCUUCGGGUGUGGCCCCGGUCUAAGU